ACACAUGCAGUCGAACGGCAGCACAGUAAGAGCUUGCUCUUAUGGGUGGCGAGUGGCGGACGGGUGAGGAAUACAUCGGAAUCUACCUUUUCGUGGGGGAUAACGUAGGGAAACUUACGCUAAUACCGCAUACGACCUUCGGGUGAAAGCAGGGGACCUUCGGGCCUUGCGCGGAUAGAUGAGCCGAUGUCGGAUUAGCUAGUUGGCGGGGUAAAGGCCCACCAAGGCGACGAUCCGUAGCUGGUCUGAGAGGAUGAUCAGCCACACUGGAACUGAGACACGGUCCAGACUCCUACGGGAGGCAGCAGUGGGGAAUAUUGGACAAUGGGCGCA
rnacentral:rRNA from 1 species